CAUUCACUUGGCGCUGUGGUAGUGCGACUGCCUUUGACGCAGAAGGUUCUGGGUUCGAUGCCCGGUGGGUCA